UUAGAUUAACAUUAUAUUUUAUAAUGCUACGUAAUUCCAUUUACUAAUAUAACGAUAUUUGAUCAAACUGUAUUAAGUACAUGAAUAUGUAUGAUGUAUGCUUAACACAGUUAAUGGUUUUUUAAGACUAUUAUAAUUAUUAUAAUAUUUGACCUUUCAGGAUUUGUCAAAGCAUAUCUUUGAGUUUGAUGAUGAAUUUAUCUUCAGCCUAAAGGAGUCCGAUGAACCAUUGGCUGUUGUUAGUCCAGAGGAACCCACACAGCCACUUCAUACAUCAACACCAAAGAAACCCAUACAUACAAGUAAAACAGGAAAAGGCAGACCAGUUCGGAGGUUAUUAAAGCUUAAGAAAACAGGGGAAGUGCAACGUCUACAGCCAUGUAGGAGAUGAUGUUUUCAUAGCAAUGUAUCCCAGAG